UACCACGUUCGACGAUCGUCAAGCAAACGUUUCCCUUUGCCUUUUGUUGCGUCAGAUGAACCUAUCUUGGGCUUAGGUACCUAUACAGCGGAGAGACAUUGGUAAAUUUUUACAGAUAUUGGUCAUAGCUACACUAUAAGAUAUGACUAUUCAGCAGUACCAGUUCAAAAAGGAUAUUAUGAAUGAAUUAAUUGUGAAGAAGAUGUCAAAGAGGACUUUGCGGCGGAAAACGAGUCACGGUUUAGGCCCAAGUCGUUGGCAAAGUAGGCCUGAGCGAAACAUGGCCUUCUUAUAUUCUGAUCUCCGAUCAAAUAACAACGUAUCUGCCCAUAUGGACUAUUCCAGAGAGGUUUCGUUAGUUACUGGACAUUCUUGCUAUCUUGUUGCUGCAUUUGAUGAUAUGUGUUUCGAAGACCGUUCGCAGAUUUGUCAUCAACGAAGACAGAAUGGCAAUAGGCCAGCAUUGCAUCAUCGUAGACAGAGUUUACUCGCCGCGAGGCCACGAAUCGCUGCGCCAAAUAACACAACGCAGUUUAUUAUGGACGAUUUUGAAUCAAGCAUAUCAUGAAAACUUGGUCAGAGUGGCAAGUUCCAUUGGGAUACCCAUCUCUGAUCAGUUCAAGCUUCAUGAUUAAAGGAUAAAAAUCUUGGACAAACAAGAACCAGUCUGCAGAAUUGGAAUGGAGGUGCUUCACAUUUAUGGAGAGAACCUGUGGUACCAUAACAGUCUGCAGGACUUGUAUUUGCAAGUGAUAGGUGUUGCUUCUAUGAUAGAUGAACAGCAAACUGCUGAAAUACACUCCCCUCACAAAAGUACCCUGACAGUUCGAAGAUCGAUUGCGCUUUCAGACAAGAAUGAAUUUAGGCUGGGGAUAGCAACUUAGUGAUAAUAAUUUUUGAGAAACCCUUCCAAAAUAAACCAGAACAUUAAAAUGCUGCAAAACUUCUGUGCUUUUUAUCAGUUAAUCAUUUUUUGUUAAAAUGAGUAACCUUUGCACUACAAGCCUUACGCCUAUCAACUGAUGUCAAAUAAGCAGAGAACAGGAAAGUCAAUUGACUUGGACUCAGUCAAAAUGAGCCAAUAAAACAAGGUAAUUUUUUAAAAAAUGGUUCUUGAGACACAAAUGUUUUUGAAUAAAGAGUAAUACAACAUGUCUACUCUCAGUUGGGAAAAAUGUUUGAAUGGAGAUGCCACCGAUCGAUUAUAAAACAUGGAUGACAUUUGGUGACAUUUCACCAGAUCAAAAACUUUCUUGCAAUGCAGACAUAUCAUUCAGUGCAGGGCCAUAAAGCCAUAUUAUUUCUUUACUGCUGAAAGUCUUGCUAAAAUCAGUCGGUACGAGAGUAUAUUCACAAUUCUUUAUCAUUUUCCUUGUAACAUUUUCCGACAGCUUUGAAAGUUCAAUUGUUUGUGAAAAUUUAAUGCAAUUUUGCUUAAUGAUGGAAACCAGUUGAGAUGCAAAUUUGGUUAGGACACAAAUUUGAGGAAAUUGAUAAAAACGUUUUCAUGAAAACUGACUUUGAAAUUUGUAAACAAAUUUCUCCAACAACAGAUUCGCAACUGAAUUCGUAACAGUCCAGAUACUUUUGUGAGGGGAGCGUAGAUCAUUUGUUUUAACAAUAAAGCUAACAAUGAUUCAAUUUUGAAACUUGUGUGGAUGAAAAGAAAAACUUAAAUGAAAAGAACAGAAA